rnacentral:rRNA from 2 species
UGGGGAAUAUUGGACAAUGGGCGAAAGCCUGAUCCAGCCAUGCCGCGUGUGUGAAGAAGGUCUUCGGAUUGUAAAGCACUUUAAGUUGGGAGGAAGGGCAGUAAGUUAAUACCUUGCUGUUUUGACGUUACCAACAGAAUAAGCACCGGCUAACUUCGUGCCAGCAGCCGCGGUAAUACGAAGGGUGCAAGCGUUAAUCGGAAUUACUGGGCGUAAAGCGCGCGUAGGUGGUUUUGUAAGUUGGAGGUGAAAUCCCCGGGCUCAACCUGGGAACUGCCUCCAAAACUGCAUGACUAGAGUACGGUAGAGGGUAGUGGAAUUUCCUGUGUAGCGGUGAAAUGCGUAGAUAUAGGAAGGAACACCAGUGGCGAAGGCGACUACCUGGACUGAUACUGACACUGAGGUGCGAAAGCGUGGGGAGCAAACAGG